ensembl:lncRNA
UGCUCCCACCGGCAGUGCUGCAUCCUGCUCUGCGGCCCCAGCACAAGAAGGACAUGGACCUGUUGGAAUGACUCCAGAGGAGGCCACACAGGUGGUCAGAGGGCUGGAGCACCUCUCCGUGGAGACUGGCUGGCAGAGGUGGGGCUGUUCAGCCUGGAGAAGGCUCCAGGGAGACCUUAUAGCACCUUCCAGCACCUAAAGGGGCCCACAAGAAAGCUGGGGAGGGACUUCUUACAAGGGCAUGUAGUGACAGGACAAGGAGGGGUGGCUUUACCCUGAAAAGAGGGCAGAUGUUGGUUAGAUAUUAGGACGAAACCCUUCACUGUGAGAGUGGGGAGGCGCUGGCACAGGGUUCCCAGAGCAGCUGUGGGUGCCCCAUCCCUGGCACGGUUCAAGACCAGGUUGGACGGGGCUUGGAACCACCUGGGCUGGUGGCAGGUGUCCCUGCCCAUGGCAGGGGGUGGGAAUUAGAUGGUCUGUCAGGUCCCUUCCAACCCGAACCAUUCUAGCAUUCCAUUAUAAGACACAGGCAUUAUUUUUCUGCUGGUGCACUCACAUCAUAAAAGCUUUAUCCUGCAGGGCUCAUGAUCUAAAAAGACAAGCUGGGAGAGAUGAAUUUCUCUAUCUUAUUGAUGAGGAAACUGAGGCAUCUGCCUUGGGGAACCUGCCCAGCCGUGGGAGCCACCGAGAACAGCUGCCAUCUUGGGGAGGGAGGAAAGGGGGUCUUCCUGGAAAUGAGAAACUCUUAAAAAUCCAAUGCAGAUAACCAUGUUCCCUGUCUGGCAAACCUGUUUCCAUGCAGGCCAGGAGUUUUUCACCAGCUCUGCUGGAGCGUGGGCAGCUGCACGGGUAAGUCGUUGGACACCACUGCCUGUGUGCUUAUACACAGGGUGGGAAAGCCAGCAGGAGCGUCCAGGCGUGAACAGGAGCAAGAAGAGGUCUGACCUGCAGCACCCUAUGGCUGUGCUCACCAGGAGCAUCGAUUCCACCAGCUCCUGCCUCCCUGCUUGUCAUGAGUACCCACCAGACACCAAAGCAUGCUACAGAGGCACGGGGAGACCUGGGUGCCCUCUGCGCUUGAGGAGCUGCUUUGAACAGACAGAAAAUGAGUCACAGACAGUUCCUAUUGACAGUAAUUACUUGAUUUUUUUGGAAGACAGUCUGUAGAUAAGCAUACUGUCUUGUCACUAUGCUCACGACAGUACUGCGUGGAUGUUCACCCCUCCUGCCCCCAAACUGGCUUUUCACCUCAUUUUACGCAGGUGCGAGCAGGACUGGGCAGCGCUGCACCCAGCCUCAUGCGACCGCAGUACUUUGUUGUGCUGAUGUUGAACUUGGGAUCCUCCUGCUUUGUACUUUCUCUUUGUAGCCAGGAAGCAAAUUCACUAACAACAAAGCUCAUAUCUGCCUGGAGAGGCAUUGAGCUAGAGAUCUCAGGUCUGAAAGACAUGUCCUGCUUACAAAAUAAGGAAGGGACAUUCAGAAAUGACGUUUUUUGACUGGAGUAAUGUGUGGGAGUGUUCCUCUGGGGGGAGAGGGAGCAAAUCAAUUCACAAAGGGACCAACAAUAACAGAUGAAGAAGGUGACUGGGUUUAUUUCUUUGUAUAUGGCAGUAUUUUACUGUAGUGAUAAAAUAAAUGAAAAGGCACAAAAGACUGAUGCUACUGAGAUAACACCACGUUGUCAGCACACACGCGUAUCGAUAUGUUGUAUUACAAGGGGAGAGCCUGAGAAAGCCUCUUUUGAUCGCUGCAGCAAAUGGUGCCUCUAGCUGGGUCACCCAGGGUGAUGCCCCAGUGCAGUGAUGGCUUUGAUGACCCAGUGUAGGUGGGCAG